AAGGUAGCAUAAUCAUUUGUUUUUUAAUUGAAAACCGGAAUGAAAGGUCAAACAAAAAUCUUCUUUUUUAAUUAAUAAAGUAAAAUUUAAAAUCUAGUUUAAAAUUACUAGCUAAAAAAAGGGGACGAUAAGACCCUAGAAGCUUUAUUGUUUAAUUAAAGAGGUUUUUGUUUUAAAUUCUAGUUAACAUAACUUUUUGACUGGGGUAGUAGUUUUAACAAACUAAAAUUAUAAAAAACGAGCUACGGUAUUAAGGUCCUUUAAUAUGGACAAAUUGUUUAAGUUACUCUAGGGGUAACAGCAUAAUAGGGGUGAAGAGACCAUAUCAAUACCUCUGAUUGUGACCUCGAUGUUGAAUUAAAAAAUCAAUAUGAAGCAAAAAUCAUAUAUGAGAGUUUGUUCAACUUUUAAAAUUUUACAUGAUCUGAGUUCAAACCGG
rnacentral:rRNA from 1 species